CAGAACUCCAAUUAAUGGAGCGCUGUCUGCUCCCUGGGGGUGUUGGCUGGGCGCUCUGCUGGUGUUUUGCUCAUCGGUUUUGACCCAUGGGCAGAAAGUUUAAGGUUUUUCAAC